CGAUGUGACAGAAAUUUUAGGAGGUGCUAAAGAAACAAACAUUAUUUAUUUCAGAGGAGUAGAAUCGUGUGUUCCUAGAGCUACAGAAGCCUUCGUUUGACUGGGCCGGAGUCAAAGACCUGUACAGCCCAUUGACCAGAAAAGGAAACCCAGUUAACCCCAGCUCCAGAGACGGACAAGAAAGUUGAGACAGGCAAGCCCAAAGAGAAAGAGGCCUCUCCUCUCAAAGAAGAUAUCUGGCCCACCUCUCAGCCUCCCCGUUCCCAACGCUGCGUCGUCCCAAUUCCCCGCACAUCGCCCAACCCCACCCAGCAGCGAGAUCGCCGGCCGCCGCCGCUGAUGGGCGAGCUGAUUCUCUUCCGCUUCCCGCCCGCCGACCCCGCUAGCGCUCGUCUGCAAGCUGUGGUUCCACAUUCUCCGGCGAGGGCUUCCGCCGUAGAGCCCCCGUGCUGGGCCUCCUCGAGCACCUCUACGACGAGAAGGCGGACGUCUUCCGCUUCGUCCCUACCGCCUCGUUCCCCCGCCUUUCUACCACCACUGCCGCGUCCUUGUGCGCGGUAUGGUAUGGUCUGGGAUGAGGACGAUCUCGUGAAUGAUGAGCUCGCCGUCUGGGACCCCAUGACGGGCGAGGAGCGGAUGGUACCUGUUCCUAGACAGGCAGCUGGACCCUUCCUGGUGGUGGUAGUGGACACCGAAGCAAGGGUAAAAGUGGUACGGUGAACUGGUUAUGCACUUGCUGCUGAAGGAGACUCAGAAAAAUCUGCUCCUGAAGCUGACAUAGAACAGCCUACUGUACGUCAUAUUGACUGAACUUGAGAAGAAGCUUGAAGAACUGGAGCAAGCAAUGUCGAAAGGAGGAAUAACCGAGCUGGCCGGGGUUCCUGGAUUUGCCAGCCCUGCAAUAGAUGAGAUCAUGAAGAUGAUUGCAUCCAGGGCAGCUGUUGGGUAGAAAGUUGCUGAUGGGCAAAGAACUGCAUCUUUUACUUCUUCUCAGAUGGCCACUUUGAGCAAUGUCUCUGGCUCAGUCAUGUCUACGGCAGCAACAACCAGAAGUACUGUAACUGACCUCGGGGUUGUAGGCAGAGGUGUCAAACGAGCUAGCAGCCUAGCGUCAAGGUGAUAACAGCUGAACCUGCUCAAGAAGCCUGCAGUGGAUUCAGCACCUGUGAGAGGAGAUAGCAGCAACAGCUCUGAGAGUAGGUUCUUCAUACAACACAGAAUGGUGAUGAUUCUGUAUCGAAGUACAGUACAAGUUCACUAGCCCUACCCCUCACGCUAACUUGCUGGAAUCUGUUAGCUGCCUAUGUGGUUCAAUUCGGUUUCAUUUAAUGUGGCCUGAUGUCUGCCGUUUUAUUAAAGCUAUUUAGAAAAAACGUUUUAGAAGGGGCUGCUCGAGACAUUGACUCAUUCUGAGUUUUGUACCUUGUAAAGGUUAAAUUGCUGAGAAGUUCAUCACGCAUGGCGCGUCGUGCCUAUAUCAUAUUAUCAUGCACGUGUAUGUUUGGAGAGAUGUGUGCUCUUAUGUGUCUUUUAUUCGUUUAUCUAUCUGUUUGUUUCUCUGUAUGUAUAGUAGCCCAUCGCUUGCGGAUUCACUGCUUUGCUGUUGACUAAGGCUAUUUCCGUAUCUCUUUUCUUAUCGUGAUUCUGAAUUGAGAAAACCUGUUAUGAACACAAUAACUAACCCUACAAUACUACUGCCAAGCUUCUCGUGUGUGGACCGGUUAGAGCAUUGAACUCCAGGAGUCGUUGAAACUCCUCUUUGAACCCGGGUUUGAAGCAUGGCACCUUAGCUCAGGGGGAGGAGUCUCCCCAUGUGAUCAAGAUUUUUUUAAAAAAGAACAACAACAGCAGUACUCGGAAGCCUGGGAGUCUCCAGCAAUCAAGGAGGAGACAAAGGGAGAUAAGAGUGUUUAUUGACUUCAGGACCAAAGAAAGGGGAGAUAAAAGUGAAGGAACUUUCAUGUCCAUUAUCAUUAAAACUUAAACAUGUAUUAACAAUUCAAUAAGUAC